UGAUGUCUUUUUUAUACUUUUCUGGACCUUGACAGUGUUUUUUACUUGUUUUUAUCCAAAAUAUCUUAAAUUGUGUUCUGAAGACGAACUAAGCUUUUACGGGUUUGGAACGACAUGGGCGUAAGUGAUUAAUGACAAAAUUUUAAUUUUGGGGUGGAGUAUCCCUUAAAUGUGUGUAUCUAUGAAUCUACUAAAGUUAACUUAGCCUGGAAAUUAGUCAUAGCAUGACAAAUGAGUAGGGCAAUUUUAAUUAAAAUACAUAUACAGUAUAUACAUGAAAUGGACAUAGGCCUAGAUGGUAUACAAAUGAAUAACUAACAUAAGUCAGUUUGAAAAUGUGUUUUAAGCUUAUUUUCUUUCUCACAGUGCCGUAGUUGAGUCAUACACUAUGUUAAGGUAAACCCAAAAUGCCAUUGAACAUUCAAUGUGAAACAACUAUAUAAUGAUAAUGUUUUCAUGUUCGUGUUUUGAUACGUUUGUGUUUUGAAUCGUUUACUUGCAGUUCGUUUACAAACAGCACGUGCAGCUUGAACCCGAUGAAGAGCUUCUUCAUCGCUGGCAAACGAUAAGUUGCAGCUUCGACUCAGUGGAUCACAGUUUGCAGUCAGAUUUGUCCCAGCGCUCGAGAAUCACAGCUUUAUUAGGUCUACUUUUACAGUCUUCCCAGCUAACAAAUCCCCGAGAAGCAGACAUUGAGCUGAAGCAUGAGAGAGCAGGUAGGUUUAGUGUGUCCUUCAAACCUUACUUUGCUGUCCCUGCCUGCAGAAAUGAGAGGAAUCACCCAAAGUAGGUCAGUCCUCACUCUCCUGGGUCAAACACGCCUUCCUAUCUGAGCAGUGCGCACUCGACAUGAUAGCUUCAGCUGUGACAGCAUUCUGCUGCUGCGGUCUGGAGCCUCGGGGUCUGGCGGUCGAGGGUUCGAGAUCCACUGUUGGUCAUCAGAGGGAUAAGAAGGCCGGUUCGCGACCUGUCAUAGCCACGGGCGAGUGAGAAUAGCUCAAAGCCUUUGCUUGGGAUUCUGGGAUUGAGAUGUACUGGUGAAGUGAAUUAUUCUCAGAGAUGUUGAGGCCCCUGCAAAUUUCCCAGAAUAAAGCUGUCAUCGAAUCCUUGUCA
ensembl:lncRNA